rnacentral:rRNA from 1 species
AUGAACGCUGGCGGCGUGCCUAAUACAUGCAAGUCGAGCGAACAGACGAGGAGCUUGCUCCUCUGACGUUAGCGGCGGACGGGUGAGUAACACGUGGAUAACCUACCUAUAAGACUGGGAUAACUUCGGGAAACCGGAGCUAAUACCGGAUAAUAUAUUGAACCGCCUGGUUCAAUAGUGAAAGACGGUUUUGCUGUCACUUAUAGAUGGAUCCGCGCCGCAUUAGCUAGUUGGUAAGGUAACGGCUUACCAAGGCGACGAUGCGUAGCCGACCUGAGAGGGUGAUCGGCCACACUGGAACUGAGACGCGGUCCAGACUCCUACGGGAGGCAGCAGUAGGGAAUCUUACGCAAUGGGCGAAAGCUUGACGGAGCAACGCCGCGUGAGUGAUGAAGGUCUUCGGAUCGUAAAACUCUGUUAUUAGGGAAGAACAAAUGUGUAAGUAACUAUGCACGUCUUGACGGUACCUAAUCAGAAAGCCACGGCUAACUACGUG